CCGUUCGGGGGUAAACGGACAGAGCCCGUGAAUCUGGGCGGCGGAAUUCAGGAUGGCGGGCGCGUUCUGCGUGUCCGUCGUUUGAUAUUUCCGUCGCCGCCAGCAGACGUCGCGACCUGUUUGCCGUCGGUCCUCGUUCGAAGGAAUCGCGUUCGAGCUCGUUGCGGGUUUCGUCUCGGCGGGCCACGCGGCGAAGGCGCGUUCUUCUGGCUGACGGUGGACAGUAUGUAGCGGUGUCCGACGCCGUCGCAUCGUACGAUGCGGCGUCGGUGCCGGUCGGCGACGAAUUCUUCGGGCCUCUUUCCGACCCGUCUUGAAACACGGACCAAGGAGUCUAACAUGCGCGCGAGUCGCGGGGUGUCGAGCGUACCUACGGGUGCGUUCGUUACGUUGCGAAACCCGUACAUGUAGAAGGCGUAAUGAAAGUGAAUAGGGAAGAUGGUGCACCGAGUACACGUUCCGCGAUCGUCGGUAUCGCGGCCGGUCACCCGCAUUCCCGGGGCGUCUCAACGGCCCGUCGCGGAUGCGGACAGUCUACUCUCGGGUCGGCUGUCGGUCUGCGACGAACCGAGGCGCACCUACAGCGUGCACGUUGGUACCCGAAAGAUGGUGAACUAUGCCUGGCCAGGAUGAAGUCAGGGGAAACCCUGAUGGAGGUCCGCAGCGAUUCUGACGUGCAAAUCGAUCGUCUGAGCUGGGUAUA
rnacentral:rRNA from 1 species